UAAACUCUUUCUUUAUAAUUUUUCUUUGUUCUUUUUUUUUUUUCUUUUUCUGGUCAAUGACUGCCCUGUACAAUGUGAAAUAUUGCUCUUUAUAUAUCAGUUCGUGCCUUAUAAAGAACACCCCAAUAAGACUAGCUAGAUACUUCAAUUUCUUUGCCAAUGGCUUUUUCAUGUAGCUUAGUGCCCAAAACCAUGCUAAUAUUUCCCAGCUUCAAGCCAGGUCUACUGAUCAAGACAAUAAUAGCCAUGAGAUGCAUAAAUACAACAAGGAGGCCACCACCAAAGCCACCCCUAAAAAAUAAACCGCCACAGAACAAUAAUUACAAAGACAAGAAAGAGACUCCGAUGACAGAGGAGAAGAGUAACACAAAGCCCCAAGAAGAUAAUUCAAUGGUCAAAACAAAUUAACUAGGAAUCUUGUUUGUUAAAGAUCAUAAUAAGUGUACUUGGUCUAACGUUAGUCAAGUACAACAUGCUUACUCUUUAUUAUCAGUGAAACUAGUAGCAAAAAAGCGGUGAUGCAUGCCCACCGCCCCCCCCCCCCACCCCACAACCAAACCCCACCCAAACAUAUUAGAAGUAGUAUGAUAUUUUAUUUUGUCGUACGUGCUUGUGUGGUAAAAUUCACAAAUUGCCACGUUUCAGUUGUUGUUGAAAAAUAAUCAAAUUCACGGAGUUUUAAAUUUCACAAAUAAAACUUCAGGACAUUGUCAAGGAAUAUCACAUGUGAAAUUUGAAAUUUCAUGACAAUGGUUAUUUUUCAAAAACAGAACUGAAAAGUGGCAAGUGAGGCGCUAUUACUGUUGUGUGCUUGUAUUGUCCUUCUGUUUCCUAUUUUCCUUUGGUUAUCCUAUUAGGGGUUGUUUAGUUCGUUUACAAGUUAUGCGGAAAUUGUAAUAUAUGAAUUGCAAUGUAGGCGUCUACUUGUUGA